ensembl:lncRNA
CUCAUACAUCAGUUUUCUCUCCCUGGUAAUAUAAUAGCGCAGCUAAUUUCCUGAGAGCUAUUACCCCCAGUACAGACCAACACACAGACAGUGUGAGGCUGACUGACAGCUCCAGUCCCAACCAGGCGAUGGGAGAAUUACUUGCUUGGCUGUGGUGCAUCCAACAGCGUGCCCUGAUCCCACAGAGCUGCCCUGGGCGGGAACCACACAAGCUUGUACUCUUAAGGGUCUGCAGCCUCGGUGUAUGAUAUCAAAACUGAAAUCAGGCCCAGCAGUGUUCUCCGCUAAACUGGGCCAAGAAGCAUAAUAAAGAUUUGGCCUUGCUAUAAAAAUGUGCCGUGCUGUACUGCUACUCUGCUUAUUCCAUGCUGGCUUCCGGGCUUCUAAUAAAGGAACAGGCAUUGGGCAAAGCACCC